CUCCAAGGAUGAUUAAUGGAAAAAGGAUGCACUUGAGAUCAAUUUUGAGGCUCAUAGUAAAGGGUCUGGAGCAACAGGGAUUCAAGGUCCAGUUGGGAAGAGUGGGGAUUCUGGAAGUAGAGGAAUCACUGGCAACCAGGAAAGCCAGGAGUCAAGGGUGCCAAAGGCAAAGAGGGUUCUAAUGGGCUUCCAGGGAAUCCUGGAGUUAAGGGAAUCCGAGGUCAGGAGGGUCUAAGGGGGAAACAAGGAAGCACAGGCCUACAGGGAUUGACAGGGAUACAGGGAUAUAGAGGAGCUCAUGGCAUAGCAGACAAUAUAGGACCAUGGGGUGAGGUGGGCCUCCAAGGGCCACCAUGGAAGAAGGGGCCCCCAGGACCAGUUGGGCCCCGUGGAGUUAUAGGUUACCCAGGUAAAGACGGACCACCCGGAGGCAUUGGGCCAGUGACAGACAAAGGGGAUAAGGGGUCCAGAGGAGCUAUUGGACAGAAGGGAGUUGCUGGUGUCGAUGGUGAGGAGGGCCCAACUGGAUUACGGGGGCCAGUGGGGCCACCAGGACUAAAGGGACUACCGGGUGAAAAGGGGAAGAUGGGAGCUCGUGGGGAAAGAGGUGAAAAAUGAAUCCAGGGAGAUGGAGGCAACCAAGGUCAACAAGGACCAAAGGGCCCACUGGGAAAGAAGGAUACUCAGGGCCCUCAGGGGACAGAGGGAGCAAAUGAGUUCCAGGACUAAAGGGCCAGUAGGGCAUCAGAGGCCCAUCAGGCCUAGCUGGGCACUAUGGACCAGGGGGCAACACCGGAGAAGGAGGGGCCAAAGGAGAGAAGGGGCUCCCUGGAACCAUAGGGCCUCCUGGAAGGUUUGGGCCUACAGGCUUAGUGGGACCAAAAUGAUCAACAGUCCAAGAAGGAAGAAAGGGGACAUUGGGAAAGAGGGGGUUAACCGGGUCUCCAGGAGGUAAAGGCAGACCUGGGCCUGCUGGUCCCCUUGGAGAGAAAGGUGGUAAAGGAAUAGAAGGGCCAAAGCCCAGGAAAGAAAGGAACAAGGGAGUUAGAGGCAAACCGGGAGAAGGCCCAUUGGGACCGGAUGGACCAGUUGGAAGACCUGGAAAGCCAGCAAGUAUCCCUAUAGGCCACAUUGACUAUGACACCCAAUUACAGCUGCAUGAUCCUAUCACGGAGAUUGCAACAAACCAUGUUGUGAUGAUGAUCCUAUUGAUGGGACGUUGUUUAUUCUAUCUUUUGUUUGGGUUGUUAUCACAGGGACUUGCUGGUUUGGAUGGAUUGUUGGGGGUUGAAGGAAACGAAGGAGAUAAUGGUGAUAUUGGUUACAGAGGAACCCCUGGGAGGCCAGGUAUGCCAGGGAAAAUGGGUCAAAUUGGACGAACUGUAUUUGACCAAUUGAGAUACCCAACGAAGGGUAAUCUUGGAUCUAAAGGAAAACAAGCACCUGCAGGGCCAAUGGGGCAAAGGGCUAUUCCAGGGCUUGGAGGAGAGAAGGGGACAUUUGGCCAGCAUGGCUCAAAGGGUCAGAGGCCUACAGGGACAUAUUGGACCACGUAGAGUUAAAGGGAAUCCAGGACUGCAAGGGAAUAAAGGGCGGCUAGGUUCAAAAGGCAUACAGGGAGACAUUGGUCCUCGCAGUCCACCUGGGAAAAAGGGCUUCCCUGGUCAACCUGAUCUGUUAGGAAAGAGAGGAUACAAGGUAUGCCUGGAGCUAAGGGGGUGAGAGGGGAAAUCAGGUCCUCCUGGCCGUCCAAGAAAUAGGCGACCUGAAUCCCUUGGAAAAAAAGAAUAAGAUUUUAAAAACAAAACCGGACCAUGACCAGGAGAACGCUUGACUCUGACCAUCACUCAAGCAGCUCCUUCAGCUGGCCUCAGGGCACCAAAGACAGCCCUGCAACAAGCUGGGGCUGAUUCAUCCACACCUGCAGGAUGGAAACUUUUAUGUGGACCCUAAGCAGGGCUGCCUGUUUGAUGCCCUGCAAGUGUACCUGUAACUUCACUGUAGGAGGGAUGACCUGUAUACCUCCUGUGUUGUCACAAGUGGAGGUACGAGUAUGGGGGAGCACAGAGAUCCAUAGAGGGGACUUGGAGCUGUUGCCCCUCAGGGAUGUUAGUGCGGAGGGAAGGGGAGAUCACUGGGACACAGACCUCAGAGCUGUCCUGAGACCUUUGUGCUUUUUGUAGCCUCCAUUUAUCCAGAGAGAAGAAGCAAGCACUGCCCAGUGUAUGGGGCAAGAUCAUUUGGCUGCAAUUCCUCAUCAGGACAAAAGAAUGUUGUCUCAUCAUGUUGUCUGUUCGCUGCAGCGCUUAUGUAUAAUUGCGAUAACAACUAGCUGUACUGUAUGAUGAAAUAUGUAUUUUGGAGAGAUUGAUAUAAUGUGUAUUUUAUAAAGAAAAAUAUAUAGCUGUUGUGUUGUUUGUAUCUCCUGCAUAUCGAUUAUUUUUUAUUUAUUCAUUUCUCAGUGAUGUACUGUGUGUGCUAAUAUAUGCUUCAUAUUUGAUUAAUGUGGAUGUUUUAAGAAUGUAAUGUACUCAUUUGUAUUUUAUUGUUUAAGUGUUUGUAAAUAUAUCUUUGCUAAUAUUUUAUCUCUUGUUUUUUAUUCUUGCAAACGAAUACCAGAAAACUUGAUGACCUCCCAUAUCUGGAUGGUCUAAACUUGUUGUACAUUGAUAUGUCACUUCAGCAUACUUUACAAUCACUUUCUUUAUCACACAUUUUAUGGUUUACAGCUAUAAUGCAAUAAACCGCAGUACACCCUGUUGUCACAAAUGGAA